rnacentral:rRNA from 1 species
GACGAACGCUGGCGGCGUGCUUAACACAUGCAAGUCGAACGGAAAGGCCCUGCUUUUGUGGGGUGCUUGAGUGGCGAACGGGUGAGUAACACGUGAGUAACCUGCCCUUGUCUUUGGGAUAACUUCAGGAAACUCGGGCUAAUACCGGAUAGGAGCUCCUGCUGCAUGGUGGGGGUUGGAAAGUUUCGGCGGUUGGGGCUGGACUCGCGGCUUAUCAGCUUGUUGGUGGGGUAGUGGGUUACCAAGGCUUUGACGGGUAGCCGGCCUGAAAGGGUGACCGGCCACAUUGGGACUGGGAUACGGCCCAGACUCCUACGGGAGGCAGCGGUGAGGAAUUUGGGGCAAUGGGCGGAAGCCUGAAGGAUCAACGCCGCGUGCGGGAUGACGGCCUUCGGGUUGUAAACGGCUUUCGCGUGUGACGAAGCAUGGGUGACGGUAAUGGGUAAAGAAGCACCGGCUAACUACGU